GAUGAACGCUGGCGGCGUGCCUAAUACAUGCAAGUCGAGCGAAUGGAUUAAGAGCUUGCUCUUAUGAAGUUAGCGGCGGACGGGUGAGUAACACGUGGGUAACCUGCCCAUAAGACUGGGAUAACUCCGGGAAACCGGGGCUAAUACCGGAUAACAUUUUGAACCGCAUGGUUCGAAAUUGAAAGGCGGCUUCGGCUGUCACUUAUGGAUGGACCCGCGUCGCAUUAGCUAGUUGGUGAGGUAACGGCUCACCAAGGCAACGAUGAGUAGCCGACCUGGGAGGGUGGUCGGCCACACUGGGACUGAGACACGGCCCAGACUCCGACGGGAGGCAGCAGUAGGGAAGCUUCCGCAAUGGACGAAAGUCUUACGGAGCAACGCCGCGUGAGUGAUGAAGGCUUUCGGGUCGUAAAACUCUGUUGUUAGGGAAGAACAAGUGCUAGUUGAAUAAGCUGGCACCUUGACGGUACCUAACCAGAAAGCCACGGCUAACUACGUGCCAGCCGCCGCAGUAA
rnacentral:rRNA from 1 species